rnacentral:rRNA from 1 species
UCCGUAGGUGGAUAAUUAAGUCAGAGGUGAAAUCCUGCAGCUCAACUGUAGAAUUGCCUUUGAUACUGGUUAUCUUGAGUCAUUAUGAAGUGGUUAGAAUGUGUAGUGUAGCGGUGAAAUGCAUAGAUAUUACACAGAAUACCGAUUGCGAAGGCAGAUCACUAAUAAUGUACUGACACUGAUGGACGAAAGCGUGGGGAGCGAACAGGAUUAGAUACCCUGGUAGUCC